rnacentral:lncRNA from 1 species
GAUUUAAUUUAUAAGUCAAGAGAAGAGAAGAGAUCAAUUAGUAAACCACAAUCCUCCCACUAACUUCAUCAAGUCAUUGAAUUGGAUUAAGGUCAUGCUGGUUGAACUGACAUCUAGAUCAGUCACACCGAUCAACCUUAAUGGCGUGGGUCAACUUGAAUCACUUAGCAGUCUAAUCAAGACAUAAUUCAUCAAAUUGGCUAGACAAGUG